rnacentral:rRNA from 1 species
UACGUAGGGUGCAAGCGUUGUCCGGAAUUACUGGGCGUAAAGGGCUCGUAGGCGGCCAACUAAGUCGGAUGUGAAAUCCCCAGGCUUAACCUGGGAACUGCAUCCGAUACUGGAUGGCUUGAAUCCGGGAGAGGGAUGCAGAAUUCCAGGUGUAGCGGUGAAAUGCGUAGAUAUCUGGAGGAAUACCGGUGGCGAAGGCGGCAUCCUGGACCGGCAUUGACGCUGAGGAGCGAAAGCUAGGGGAGCAAACGGG